GCCAGUUGUUGUGUCUGUUAGUUUGUAUUUUAAAAGCACAUGCCACAAACUGCCUAUUCAGAGACCGGAUUUGCUAUGACUGUGAGAUGCUGUGCCUUGAUAUGCUGACAUUCUCCCAUGUCAUCUCUCUGCCUCUGGGAGCAAAUGUCCUCCAGCCCUACAGACACAUGCAGGGCCUCGGAAGACGUAUCUCUUUACUGCCACUCCGGCCACGCACAUGUCUGAUAAGAAGCAGUAUUAUAGUGAAUAGCCAGAGUCAAUAUUAAGUAUUGGAUAAGAAUGAAAGUAGUUUGGGAAUAAUUAUAACCACCUCCCCUACCCCAAAAAAUAUGCUGUUCAAAAGUCAGUCUGGAGACACAGAUAACAACCCUAUUUUUAUACCAACCCGACUGAAUUCUUAAUACAUGGCAAAAAAGAAGAUCAUGGCUUAACAUAAAGCAGGAGAUGUAAUAAAUAAUGAACUGCACUAACAGCUUAGCAUCAUAAGGAGACAGAUGGAAAACUUCUCUCCCGAGAUCACUGCUUCCAGAAUUAGAGAAAGGGCUUCUGGACGUGUUCAGGGUGGAUAGUUCAAGCCUGAAUUUCAAUGAGAUGGGAACACUUUUUAGUAUAAACGCAAGAUUUUCAUGUCUCCCUUUUAGGAAAAAUAGGGAUUAUGGCGUUCAUCUGUUUCAUCCAGAACUAGAAGCAAAACCCUAAACCUCAGACUCUUCCAGCAUGUCUGAUCCAAUCAAACAAGGGAAGAUGCUGCGGGUGCUUUGUAUGCUAAGGAAGUGCUACGAUGCCAUCGUCUGUCCAGGAAAAGAAAGGAACACCCAUCCAUGUGGUUAAGCCAUCAGAAAACUGGAGCAUUGGGAAUAAAGGAAUUAUUUCCACGAGACAAGCACGCCAGCCAUUGGCUCAUAAUGAGCUGAAAGACCAAUGACUGCUUCUCAGAGACUCCCUAGGGCCCAGUGUCCUGGGGGCAGACCUGUGGCUGAGUCAGCAUGGUGCACAGCAGAAAGUGGGGGGAGAGUGGCCAGCGCUGCCCCGGCGGGCUCUGUCUGCAUCACCUGGAGCGGCACAGACCCUUCAGUCUCCAUUCUCUCUUCAGGAAAGAGGCCUACUCGCAGAUGAACGCACCAAGGCUCAGGUAACCAAAGGAGUGCUCUGAAAGGUGAAAAGAGGAAGGUGAACUGAUUGGAAACUAAGGAGUGGAGGAACACCUUGGCAGCAUGGCUAUGCUGUGUGUACAACCUUCCACCCACUUGAAGAAAGAGACUCACAUCUGUGAUUCCCAACACCGAAGUUGCAAUAGGAAGUGGCCCAGGA
rnacentral:lncRNA from 1 species